AAAGGACGGGGUGGGACCCUGCUGACCUGUUUGAGGCUGGGGGAUGCCCUCAUUCCCCCGUGGGACCUCAUGUGGCCAUUCAGGGCAGGCAGGCUUUUGAACUCCUUCAGGCAGAUGGAGCAUGUCAGCUUGUUCUUGGCAUCAAACUGUUCCCCAAACACUCCUUUGGUUUGGCCGCUGUUGAAGGGUAGGGCCACACGGAAAGGACACACACAUCGAGGACGGGGAAACAAGAAUUUAUCACAAGGCAUCAAACCUACAAUGAGAUCAUUUUGUUUAUCUAAUCUACCACUGUCUGUGGCUUUGAUUAUCUGCCAGAUGACCAAGCCCAAAGUACAGAUGGAGAAACUGAGGCUCAGGGAGCAAAGGCUUGCUUUCUUUAAAAAAAAAAA
rnacentral:lncRNA from 1 species